CAGUGUUGUGGUGACACCAACUGCCUUUGGGAUAUUACUUCAGUUCCCUUUGGGUUCACAAGCAGGCAUGUUUCGCCAGCUGCUCAGGCUAUUUCGGAAGGAAAGUGUUGAUCAAGGAGAGACCACACCAGGUCAGAGGGAAGCUGACCCCGUCUCUAGUGAAACAGGAAGGAGGAAAUCAUUCUUGGGAAGGCUUGGUUUUGGUAGGAAGGCAUCAUCCCAAAAUGUCAUCAGUCAGCAAGAGGAGUGUCUAAAGGAACUGGAGGAACUCAAAUUUGAAAUCCAGAAGUGUCAAUUCGAGAGGGAUGAACUUUAUCAAAUCCUGGAUCUUUAUAUCUAUGAUGAGUGGGACCACAGGCUGCAUGUCGAAUUGCCAGUCCUUCAAUCUGAACAUGAGAUGAGAAUGAUGGCUAUGCAAAUGAUGACCAACUCAAUAA
rnacentral:lncRNA from 1 species